CACUAGUUCUCUGACGUUUGUUACGUCAGAGGACAUGGGGAGUACAUAAGCAGCACAUCCAGCAGAAACAAUCUGCUCAGGCCAUCGCAGGUAGACCAUGCUUAUACCAGCCACCACACCAAGUGGAUGUUCAGCUGUGGCACUGGUCUAUCCCUGCACCCCAUUUGGGGUUUAAAUAUUUACCAACCUUCCAUAUUGGAGCUGCCUUAGGAGAUUGCUAAAUACGCCCGGUGCACCUGGCUCCAAUCAGCCCCUUUUCAGUGUGUUACUUACACUUUAACAUCUCUUCACAAGCAAUCCACCCAAUUGAAACUUGAGAGGCUGCAAACCAAACAACUGGUUUCCUAGGAGACGCU